rnacentral:sRNA from 1 species
CAGUGCCAUGGCCGCUUGAGCUAAAAGGUACGAAUAAAAAGAAAGGCGCAGAAAUCUGCGCCUUUUUU